rnacentral:rRNA from 1 species
UACGUAGGGGGCAAGCGUUGUCCGGAAUCAUUGGGCGUAAAGCGCGUGUAGGCGGCUCGAUAAGUCUGCUGUGAAAGUCCAAGGCUCAACCUUGGGAUGCCGGUGGAUACUGUCGAGCUCGAGUCCGGAAGAGGAGUGUGGAAUUCCUGGUGUAGCGGUGAAAUGCGCAGAUAUCAGGAGGAACACCAAUGGCGAAGGCAGCACUCUGGGACGUGACUGACGCUGAGGAGCGAAAGCCAGGGGAGCAAACGGG